rnacentral:rRNA from 1 species
GACGAACGCUGGCGGCGUGCUUAACACAUGCAAGUCGAACGGAAAGGCCCUGCUUUUGUGGGGUGCUCGAGUGGCGAACGGGUGAGUUACCCGUGAGUACCCUGCCCCUGACUUUGGGAUAACCUCAGGAAACUGGGGCUAUUACCGGAUAGGAGCACUUGCCGCUUGGUGGGGGUUGGAAUGUUUCGGCGGUUGGGGAUGGUCUGGCGGCUUCUCAGCUUGUUGGUGGAGUAGUUGUUUACCAAGGCUUGGACGGGUAGCCGGCCGGACAGGGAGACCGGCCACAUAGAGAGUGAGAGACGGCCGAGACAACUUCGGGCGGGAGGAGUGGGUAAUGAUGCACGAGGAGCGGAAGCCUGAUGCAGCAACGCCGGGUGCGUGAAGGCGGCAGUCGGGUUGUAAGCCGCUUUCUCCUGUGACGAAGCGUGAGUGACGGAAAUGGAGAAGAAGCACCGGCUAACUACGUG